UUAUUUUCUGACUACAGUUUGGGCUUGUGCUCCCAGCAUUCCACCCCUACGAGGGCCUGAGGGCUGGGGAGCUGUCAAAGAAUGCGUCCUCCACGAAUGAGGAGUGAUGAGCUCUGUUGGAACAAAUGCCUGCUCCAAACUCAUUAGGCUGCUAAUUUCUCAUGACAGAGUGACACCAUAUGUUUAAAUAAGUUCCCACCUCACACGAAUGUUUUAGGGGAGAGUAAAUUAUUAUGUCAAUGGCUGAGUUCCAGAUGACACUUCUACAAAGGCACCAGUUGGGAGGCGUGCAAGGAAGACUUCAGAUGAGAUAAGCUGCCAAGUGGAAAGAUGCUCGCUGAGAAAAUGCCUGCUCCGAGCUGCUUCAGUUUUUCUCAGUUUUAAUGCAAGUGCAAAUGUUUAUUCAUAUUCAUCUCUUGGAUCCUUAUAAAACUGUGGUUACAGCCCCAGUUUUAUCCUGGAUUCUUUGCAUUAACCAGGCUAGUUAUGGGAAAUACAAGUACAUGAUGCCAAAAUGAUAAGCAUGCAGAGAAUACAUGGUUAUUUGA